rnacentral:rRNA from 1 species
AUUGAACGCUGGCGGCAGGCCUAACACAUGCGAGUCGAGCGGAUGAAGGGAGCUUGCUCCUGGAUUCAGCGGCGGACGGGUGAGUAAUGCCUAGGAAUCUGCCUGGUAGUGGGGGAUAACGUCCGGAAACGGGCGCUAAUACCGCAUACGUCCAGAGGGAGAAAGUGGGGGAUCUUCGGACCUCACGCUAUCAGAUGAGCCUAGGUCGGAUUAGCUAGUUGGUGGGGUAAAGGCCUACCAAGGCGACGAUCCGUAACUGGUCUGAGAGGAUGAUCAGUCACACUGGAACUGAGACACGGUCCAGACUCCUACGGGAGGCAGCAGUGGGGAAUAUUGGACAAUGGGCGAAAGCCUGAUCCAGCCAUGCCGCGUGUGUGAAGAAGGUCUUCGGAUUGUAAAGCACUUUAAGUUGGGAGGAAGGGCAGUAAGUUAAUACCUUGCUGUUUUGACGUUACCAACAGAAUAAGCACCGGCUAACUUCGUG